GGGCCUAUGGCGCAAUUGGUAGCGCGUAGUAAGUUCACCUUGAAACCAAUCAAGAUCUCCCAAACAUCCUCUAACCACAUCAACAGCGACUCCAGAUCGUAAGGUUGUCCGAUCGAGCCGGGCUGGGCUCA